rnacentral:RNase_P_RNA from 1 species
GAAGUUGGUCAGGUAAUCGCGGUGUGAUUUAUCAUAUCGAGGAAAGUCCGGGCUCCAUAGGACGCAGUGCCAGAUAACGUCUGGGAAGCGUGAGCUUACGGCAAGUGCAGCAGAGAGAAGACCGCCCAUCUUUAUUGAUGGGUAAGGGUGAAAGGGUGCGGUAAGA